CUGCUGCCUCCCGUAGGAGUUUGGUCCGUGUCUCAGUACCAAUGUGGGGGGUUGACCUCUCAGUCCCCCUAUGUAUCGUCGCCUUGGUGAGCCGUUACCUCACCAACUAGCUAAUACAACGCAUGUCCAUCUCUGACCACCUGAGUUUUCGACCACCGAAGAUGCCUCCGGUGAUGUUAUGGGGUAUUAGUACCAAUUUCUCGAUGUUAUCCCCCUGUCAAAGGUAGGUUACGUACGCGUUACGCACCCGUCCGCCGGUCGCCGGCA
rnacentral:rRNA from 1 species